rnacentral:lncRNA from 1 species
GCAAGUUGGGAGCCCUGGAGAUGGCGUGCCUAGUGGGGAGACGGGGGCAGGCUGGGCCUGAGAUUGCGGUACGACCUGGGUCCCAGCAGCCCUUUUACUUCCUCUCAGUCUGUUGGAGCCUUGGGGCUGGAAGGGAGGGUCAUUAGAAUGUUCUCUGCAGAAAACUCAAAAAGCCCGCAGGAGAAUGAGAGUCUGUGCUAUUUCGGCAUUCCCUCCCAUUUCACUCACUGCCUCGAGGGAAUGAUAAAUAUGAGAAACCUGCUCAAAAAGCCUGGCUGGACCCAGGGUCUGCUUGAAGGCCUGUGCUCUGGGGCUGGAAAGGGGAGGGGGGAGGGGAGAGGGAGGAAGGAGAGAUGAAGGGGUGGGGGGGAGAAGGGAGACGGAAAGGGGAGGAAAGGGAAGGAAGGGAGAGGGAACUAGGAGAGGAGAGAGGAGGAGGGGGAGGGGGGGAGGAGGGGACAGGGAGAGGUAGGGGAGGGGAAGAGGAGGCCGAGGGGGAGGGCAUAAGGCCUGCCUGCAGCUGUCUGCAGAGCCCCACGCCUGCCACACGCUGCGUGCUGGGUGGAAGAGGAGAAUCUUCUCUGAUAGAGGACAACGGUUCUGUGGUCAAGUGUAUACCACUCCCCUGCUAGAACCGCGGAACGAGCUCAAACCAGAAGAUGAAUGUUGAACAUGUACAUCCUGUUGCCUUCAAAAUACUCAGAAGAGGGGAAUUCAGGUUUUCUAUUGCUAAGAGGAACUUGGGGUGAGCUGGGAGCCCUGCGGCACCCGCCUUUCUGCAAUGCUCAGAGAGGGAUGGGCAGCCAGAGCUGAUGUGUGCCCCUGUGUGCCUGGGAUGGAUGCCGGCCCUGCUGUUCGCUCCCAGCUCCUGGGUUUGGUGGAGAAGAGGCAUGGGCACGUCUGCUCUGCCCUCCGGAAGAAUCCCCACGUUCAGAACAAGAUGCCAGAGACCCAGGUUCCCAGGUCCUGCCUGCACGCCGAAGCAGAGUCCUGGCCCUGGCAAAGCUCCAAGGGCCCGAUGACCAUGCCUGGGGUGUUGGGGGAGGGGUGCAGGGGUGCCUGGCCAUGGCACAGCCCUCUCCUUUCUGGAGGCUCCUGGGUAUCAGCUGUCCUUUCCUUCCCGCACUCUGCCUGAACGUAGAAGGAAGAAGAGAGCCGCUGACAAAGGGCUUGUGCUUUCUCCCAGCCCCUUGGAUAAGUAAGCACAGCUUUAAAUCCAAACUUAAGAGCCAGGAGAGCGGCACUGGUGGGCAUCUCCCCAGGAUUCUCAUGGUCUGGGGGAAAGACAAGAGCAUCCAGACCCUGCCUGGGAGCUCCCCGGGCCCGCGGCCUCAGUGCACACCCUGAGCUCUCCUGCGCCCCCCUCCCCCAUCCCUUGCACCACCCCCUCCUUCUCUGCACUUUGGUCCCUUCUCAGGGACGUUGUCUCUCAGUGGCUCAGGUGCCUGGCUCCAGGGAGGCCUGGGAGCUCACUCCACACCAUGCUCCCACCCUUCUGAUCAGGAAUUCAAACUGCUUUGCCUUUCCUUCACAUGCACACGGAGCUGUGUGUGUGGGGUCCACGACUCUGGGCAGAAGGUAGCCUUGAACUGCUUGGACACCCUCCCUCGGCACCAGCUUUCUCACUUGGGUCUUGUUAAUCUCAGGUACUCCUUGAAAGCAGUGGCCAAGUUUCCUUCAUAACGUGCCCCCUAGGAGCCCAUGCAGGUCCUUACACCCAGGGACGGCUCAGAGAGGGCCUGGUGGCUGAUCAGCGAGUCUCCUGGCAUCUGUAUCCACCCUGAACUGGGUGAAGGGAACUUUCCUCCAGGGCCAAGGAUGUAAUGAGCUGCCUGCUUAGGAGGAAAGCUAGACGUAUUCCCAUUGAGUAGAUUUGAAAAACAAGGCUGAUGGUGGAUCAUAAAGUCCUGGAGCCUGUGUCUCUAGCGUCACGGAAUGUUCAGAGGGGACGUGGUGGUGGGGAUGGUGGGCAAGUCUGGGGCAUGGAAGCUCUCAGACUCCUUCCUGGGUGGGAGAUAAAAGGGAGCAUUUCCCUCUAGAACCCGUCAGUCAGAGCCAGUGUUGAGAACAGUACCCUCCGCCUUCCUUAAGCAGGUUUUUACCUUUGCCGUCCUCUAAGCGACCUCCUUGUGUUCCAUUUCACAGGCUCCCCAUUAUCAGGCUGUAUUUAUUCCCCUUCCCCUCCCUACAGCUGCCUGGUCUUCCUAACUAGGCUGAAAGUGCCUGAGCUGGUUUGACUGCAGCUCCUCUGCUGGCUCCAGAGCCUGGGACAGGAAGGAGGCUGUGGAGUGGGAGAAGCCUGAGGCAGGCAGCCCAGGCGGGCCCAUGGGGCUGUGCUCACUGUGACAGCUGGGCCACAUGCCUGCCAUUCCCUGCAGCGUGCUCAUCCUCUUGAUAUAGGGAUGCUAUUGGCUGCCCAGCCAGUGAGGCCUUGGGCUCUGGGACCAGACGCCCUGCUGCUUUUAGGGCAAGGCCAGUGGGGACAGGCUAGGACAGGCGUCAGCUUUCUUUCUCUCCUUGCAUGGCCAGGGCCUGCAGCCCGUUUUCUGAUUUGUGUGUAUUAUUAGGUCCCAGGGAUUCCUGCAGCCUGGGUGAGCCUCAGUGGGUGGGGCCCACCCGGAUUCCCACCCCACUCUGUGGAGGAACUGUAUCCGGAAUCUGAGCUCUGUCCAGGGUCCUCAGCCCGGCUGAGAGAGACCUGGCCCACUGCCUGCUUCCAGGCAGAAUGAAGAAGGUGCCAUUUCUCAUCCCCACUGUCCAUGAGGCCACAUGAGGCCUGCCUUGCUUAGAUGUCCCUCCGGCACCCUGCACCUGAUGGCUUCUUUCUGUUCCCUAGAUUAUCCUAGCUCACGGCUGACAAGGGCCUAACAGCCUCCUCCUCUUGGUAACAUACGAGCAAGUUUACCAGGGUGGAUAAUAUCGUGACUCAAUGGGACCUACUGCUCCUGGAGGGGUGGGUGGGGUCCCAUCCAGGGCAGGGCCCACCUUGCCCCACAGGCAGGGCCCUGUUAGGCUAAGCUUCGGGCUGGGAGAAAAGCGAACUCUUCUGCCCUUUCCGACGCCUAAGGACCAUCGACUGGAGGGAGAGGGGCCCUGCGUUUUUGCACGGGGGAUAUGGGCAGAGGCCGGCGUAUUUAGGAAAGUGAACCCCCUUCAUUGACUGCGUUUAGCCAGGGGAAGCCAGCCCCUGCCCAGGCCCAUCCCAGGGUCGCAGAGGUAACGCUAAACAGGGCGCCUUGGAGCUGACCGCGUGGGGCGGGUUCGCGCUGCCUCGGCGUCGCCCGCCUCUGAGCGUGUGGGUGGGGGUGCUUAGGGCCCUGGCCAGGCUUAGGAAGCAGAUCUGGCUGGAUCUGAUAGCUCUUACCUUGGUUUGAACGUUUGUGCGAAGAGCUGAUUGCCCUGGAGGCGAAUUCCCGAGAAGCCGCGGGAGAGCCGCGUGAGUGUGCCCAGCUGGGGCGUCCGAGGGCGAAUCCGGCUAGGGUGCCUUUCCUGCGGCGCGGAGCCUCAGCAGCACAACCCGCGUGGGGCCGCGAUCGCCCUCCUUCCCUCCCUCCACAGACUGCUUUCCCCAAAGCAGGCACCCCUCAGGCCAGCCUCAUCUGCGUGCCCUCACCACCCUGGGGUGUCACCUCCCCGCGGUAACCCCUCCGCCGUGCACGCCAGACGCUCAGUCCGCGGGGUGCUCGGGGCAGGGCCUGCUCCCCCUCCCCACCUCGCUCCCUCCCGGGACAGCCCCUCGGGGACCAGAGCUCCCUCUCGUGUCUUAUCUGCCACAUCUGUAAAGCAAGGGGCACGUUAAUCGCUUCCAGGGUCUCUCUUUCUCCCCCCAGUCCUGAGCUCCUGCCUCAGUUGCCGCUCCGUAGCUCCGGAACACGCAGGCCCCCGAAUGCCAACUUUGACGGGGGCGGCCUUCAAAUCCCAGAGGACGCGCUCGCUCUGCGUCCCCGACUGGCGGCGCGGUGCCUGCCUCGCCUAUGCAGCAGAGUUAACUCGGGGCCUUUUUGGGUGCAGGAGCUGUUCACGUCGUAUUUUGCCGGUUGAGGAACUCCAGACCCAGGCCACGUCUCUUCACUGUGGGGAAAAAAAGCCACUUGUGAAAAACUUAUCCCCCGUGGCAUGGACUGCGUAGGAGACAGUGAAUGAAACAAGCGACCAACCUCAGCAUGAACUAAACCGAGAGACCAGGGCGGGAGGGGAGGGGAGAGGGGGAGAGUGGUCAGAGGCCGGGCUCUCUGUCUGGUGGAGACUGCCCAACCGCUGCUUCUGAAACAGCAGAGACAUCUGAUACACACAGAGGUCUUUUGUGAAUGGCCUUUGUUUGUCUUUUGGGGGCUGUGUGGAGGGCACGACACUUUUUUUGAUGGCAAUCAGAGCAGGGGCUGAGACCAACCUUGGUUGAUAUGGUGCCGACCACAGGCUACAAACAUGAGCUGAGAGGUAGGAUAGUAAGUGGAGGAGAAUGUCCCGCUGAGCCAGACAGCAGCAGAGGGGUUACAUGGGAUAACAAGACCACAAUGAGGAGUUAACAUUUGUGCUGCACUUAGAAUAGUGCCUUGAGCAGGUGAAGUUCUAUAUGUGUGUUCAUUGAAUGCAUUUUUAAAAGGAUACAUUUUUUUAAAACCUCAAUUAGAGCUCAAGCUUUUAUUCAAAUAAACUUUUAUUUUGGGCAAAUUUGAGAUUUGCAGAAAAAUUUGAAGUUGCUCUGGUGGGACAUAGGUUUCCAUAUAUCCUGUACCCAG